rnacentral:lncRNA from 1 species
CAGCAUUUCACUGCCAAGUGCCAGAAGAAUGAGACUAACACCACAUCUACAGACACUGACCCUAGAUCACACCUCCAGGAGACAGGAGACAACAUCUUAACACUUUUCACCAUGCAUCCUCCUCUUGAAUCAGAGUGGACUAUUUGUAACUUUCGCCAGUGCAAUGUUGAAGAGGAACUCCCACCCUCGAAUGAACGGAGGAGACCUCCAUAAAUCCAGGGACUUGCACGGCAAAAGGCAUCUCAAAGACCAACUGUUGAUACCCUCUUGUUAGAGACAUACAGAGGUUAGGUGCCUGUCUCGAGGUCACAUGGCUAAGAUGCCAAAAUGGAAACUGAAAACCACAUUUUCUGACAACUUGACAUAUGCUCUUUCCAAGCCCCUUCUCUGACCACACUCCUGUAUGCUCUGUGAAAUGCAGAGAGGGAGAAGAACUUAACAUAAUCACCACAGAAAAGGAGGAUAGAGUUUCACGUCCAAAAAUGUCAAACCCUAAUUUCUUAGUAGGAUGAAAAUAUGAGAAUGAAAAAAUGCAAUACUGUAAAAUUGAAUAAAUUGUAUUGCUUAUAUUUGGAGCAAUCUUUAUUAUGGAUAAGUAGUUUUUCAAAAAAUUCCUGUCAUGUGGUGGUGUGUGAAAGUUUGAAAAAUGCAGAUGAUUUUUG